CCGACUUGCAAAGGCCUCAAUCCAAGAAUGUUACUUUCUGAAGAGAGUAAGAUAUAAGAUGAUGCAACAUCGAAAUCAUGCAUUUAAAUCAGUUCAAGGCUCUAGAUAAAUAAAAGGCAGUAGCCAGUAAGUCAUUCAUUAUUGUAACUCUUACAUAAAAAAAAAACUUCACUUUAAUUAGCCCCAAGAAAAAGUCCAUGCAAAACUUGCUUAGAUUUCUUGUGAUGCAAUAGCAUUGGGUCAAUAGGACAAUGAUCUGCCCUCCCAAUUGCUAUAAAUGAGGGCAGCCGAAACCCAAGACUUCUACUUGCACAUCCAAACCUGCCACUUUGUGUGCACAUCAGCGAAAGAAACAUAUUAUCAAAACAAUUAGAAUGAAAUCACUCUCUGAUCAUUUCCUGCCAUUUGCAGAUGGGAAAUCCAAGGAAACUGCAGAAAUACCUCACCUUGUACUGUGAUACAAAAGAUUUUAGGUCUCUAACUGAAGAAAAUGGUAAAAAAUGUAAUCAUGACUGUAAAAAUAAGUUCAAAAGCUUCAGCUACCAUUCUCAUUGAUUUUCCCGUGCUUCCUCCCUGGCAUGUUAUUACACAAUGAUGCAAAAGAAAAUUCUUUUUCUCUGAUAAAGAGGCGUUGAGGGUCAGAACAAGAUAAAUGGUUCAAAUGGACCAGCCACAGAAGGAUAUUGUAGAAAUAGACGCGUUUUUGAUGGUCCAAAUUGUAACAUCCAUUCCCAUCAAGCAACUCACAAGUUAGUCUUUCCAGUUCUAUAUCCAAAAUGAGUAUACUAAAUAAAUAUACCCAAUAUAUAUCCAGUCCGUGCUACAGCAUAUUUCCUAAUGAAAUAUGAAGGUAUCCUUGAAAGGAUAUACAUGUAGCAUAGGAAGGAAGAGUUGGAUAAGGAAUUUAAUGUAAAUAAAUAAAGAAAAGUGGUGCAAAGCAAGGCUGAUAACUAUUUAUUAAUUUAUUAGCCCAUUAACACCUGUAUGAGCAAAAAUAAAUGAAAUUAUUAACAGAAUGAAUUCCUCAGCAUCUAUGACAAUGCUCCUGGUAAUCCAUAGCUCCCUUCAGAAACAGUCGAUUGUUCAGUCUUAUAUCAGGCAUGAAACUCUCAAAUUCACAUUCAGCAUGCAAGUAAAAUACAUAUCUCUACAUAUUCAAAAUGUUGGAGAUGUGGGAGCUCGAAAUUUUCAUUUUUUGUCCAAGGUUAUUAGCUAUAGAGACAUGCUUAAAUAACAACGAAAAAUAGUUUCUGAAACAAGAACAUCAAUCCAAGAAAGUAGAGAGCCAGUUUUUUUGGCAUGAUGAACAGUUAAAAUACAAAGGACAAAGUGUAAACACCAAUUAAAGAGAAAUUCCAAGAAAGUAGCAAGUGAAUAUAAUAACCUGCAAUAAAACAAAAUAGUAAUAGAUGUCCAAUCCUUGUGUGUAUACAAGAGCAAUCAGCUAUCAAUCAAUUGAGCCAAUGGAUCUUCUGAAACAUCUGAUUAUGGAAAACACAGUGAAUGUACAAGUGAUAACAAAAAAAUUAUUUCACCCAUCACUAAGCUACAAACAGUUUUCUGGAAAACAAUUCCUCACCUGUAAAAUGACUCCUUCAAUUCACUACUGCAUGCAUCAGGAAAAACUUGCGCAAAAUCCAAUGCCAAGAGCAAUGAACCUCAAAUCUAUUGGGCUGAACUACUUCUCAUAUGUCUUCAAGAAAAGCUAAUUUCAAAAUAUUUGCUACGUAAUAAAAUUGGAGCCUCAUGACUUGCCAAACAUUGAGCUAUCUUAUCUAUGCUUAAAAAUAAAAUCAAGAAACAAGAUAAUAUUGCACCAUCUCCUAAAGACGAGGUGUGAUUUUUCUCAAUCAUUAUACAUACAAAACCCCCUUUCCUUUUGGGGUAAUAACCCUCCUUUCUUUUUGGGUUCCAUUGGCACUAUCAUUAAGACCCCUCCUCCAAUAGCCAUUCUGACAGGUUUUUCCUUCCAGAUUUAUUCACAAAUCUCUUACAUAUCAUAUUUUUGCCUUUAAUUCCAACAACGCAAAUAUCCUAAUAACUAAGAAUAACUAAAUUCACUCCAACCCCUAAAGUUCAGCCUCAUAUCAAAGAAUUAUCUCCUAUGGGGUUUUCAGAGGUAACAAAAUAAUGGCACAGAUGCACCAAAAACACACAGCAAAGAACAGCAGUUCCAGCAUAUUCAUUGCAACAACAAGACAGAAUAUACCAGUAUAAAAUAGAGAAAAUUUAUUCUGCAUUCUUUCAAAAGAGUAAAAGAAAUAAUGGCACAAUGCAUUCUAGCUGUAUGAUCUGCUGGAUGGAGCACUUACAAUGCAUGAGCUGUAGAAAGUAAUAUUACACGUAACAAGCUACAUAAUUACCUUCCAUGUUUUCUUUAGUUUCUUCAUUAAUCCCUCUUACAUAACAUGACAUAUUCAAGAUCUGUGAAAAUAGUACAAAGAAAGAAGAAAGCAUAAAUGCUAAAAUCUUUAUUCACUCUCUAUAAGAAUGCCCUAAUUUUUUCAUUCCCCUAGCAUAUGGAAAAUAUGGUAUGACCAGUUCGCUCCAAUUUAUGAGAUAUUAAAUCCCAAGGUAAUUAAGUCAAACAAUGAUAACAUCUUCAACUACUACAUGCAUAUGAAUUGACUAGUUUUUCAGAUUUAAGAAGUUUGCAUGACUUUACUGCUUACAUUUUGGGCCCACAUGCAAAUUUGCUCCACCAUGUUGAUGUUUAAUCUGAUCAAGCAACUUUACUACAUAUCUAAUCUUUAGCCCAUUUUAUCAAAAUCCAGAAAGGCACAACAACCAUUAUCUGCUAUAUAUCCCCUCAACGGUGCUGGUCAAUCCGCUCCAUAAAUUCUCCAUAUAGGCACACUAUAAAGAUUACAAACUCCACUUAAGUUCAGAAAUCUAAUAGAUGUCCCCACUAAACUCAAUUGGUAGGUUUUAACAACACUGCCCAAUCUUUGGCAAAGCUACUCUAAUUUAGUCUUGACUGCAAGAGAAAUUUGUGUGCCAGUCUUUUUUAACUCUCAGUCUGUGGGUUGACCCACGUCCCAUGAUGUUCAGAUAGUUAAUUUUCAGCCACCAAGGAGGAAAUCGGAUGGAUUAACCAGUAGUCUGAUGCUAAAUCAGACAUGAAUACUAGAAUAUCUUCCAUAAAUAUACUGAAUUGCAGCUGGUCUCUAUAAUCUGCAUGAGCAUUUAUGAGUAUCCAAACAUAUCUCAUAAAUAAACUGAAUCACAGAAGAUAGAAAUCAACAGUAGACUCAGUAACAACAUAAAUUCAGUAUUGUCCAGACUAUUGAUUGCUUGUCCCAUUUAAAUUCUUCACAAAUUACUUUCAAUCUUUAACACUUUCCCUUUUAAUAUGUAUUUCAAAAUAUUCUUCAAGUUUCUCCGAAACCCCUCUAUGAGUCCAAUAUGUUAAGUUAUGCCUAGAACCUGUUUAAGAUUAGCCAGAAUUCACAAUUCAAAUACAUCUAUGGUCAACUCAUGCUUCCAGGCCAGGUGAAAAUUGUACAUCUCCUUUUAAUAAGUAAGAUUUUAGAUCAAUUAUCUUUACUACACCCAAUGAUAAGGAAUUGCAACUAUAACUUUUUAAAUGAUAAUUAGGAGCUAAAUGAUAAGUUUCCGUAACAACAGAGUGAUACAGUAACACCUCAGCAGAUGGAUUAUUUAGGUGUCAUUUAGUUACAAAUGCAAAUUAAGAGCAUAACGACAAGUAAGUAUCCAUUAAUGUGUUAUUAAUAUUGGAAUUCCAAUCAAUUAUCGGAUCUAAAAAUACAUAAAGAGCAACACUACAGCUCUUACACCAGUGAUUUUACCUUUCCCCAAGCUACAUAAGAGUAUCCCUGCAAAACUGUCUUAGAUUUCCUCUUCAUUGGCUGAAAAUUGCACAGACAAACUUCAGAUCUGUAGUGAAGGCACAAGUCAACCAACACCGAUACUUAUCAUACAACAGAGCAACCAAUUAUGGGAAUUCUAUUUAAAAGUUUCCCUUGCUUGGUUGCUGUUAAAUAAUUCCCAGAUUCACACAGGCUCUGCAGGAGGAAAAACAGACAUUUGGAUGCUCAGACCCACAAUCUCAUUUUGCAAGGCCCAAGCUCCAUCUGAAGGGGAAGCCAUGCAGUUCAUCAUGGCAAUCUGAACAGAACAUGAUCAUCAACACUUCCAACAGCAGUUAUUGAGGCCUUUGAACCACAACAUCCAUGCCCAAUUACAGCUUUGGCACAACAAAUCUUCAUGGGAUGUUUCAAUCCUCGAACGCAUGCGUACAGAUUUUCUCCAGCAGCAAUGGCCAAUGUUCACCAAGCUGCUGUGGAUUUAGCUCCAUUGCAACUUUGAAAUCAAGCAAAGAUAUUGAACACCGAGGCCUCUGUUCAUGCAUAACUUCCACUGGUCCACUAUUGCUCUGCACAUGUAAGUGAUUACUCAUCCACAUUCCAUUGAGCACUUUGCCUUGAACCUGCUGCUUAUGGAUGGGGUGCUUUCUUGAAUCAUGUGGAGACCUUGAUCCUACCAACUCAACACAAGAUCUGAUCAACUUCUUCAAGUAUACAUCCAACAUAUUAUUCAGCAUAUUUGCACAUUCCGUUGAAACCCCUCCAACACCCUGUGCAGCUGCGAUCUGCUCCAUGCGUUUCCUCAGCAUCUCUGUACUAUACAAUACACCGCUGUCAUGAUAGCUAAUAAAAUCACCAGCGCUUGCUGCUGGCAUAGUUUUGCGAGCCCCACCCACAGUAGUAGAAUAAAAUGGAAUUCCAAGAGGCGCAAGUAAUGGACUUCUAGAGAAACUCAAGUGGUUUGCUUUCUCCACCUCUUCCCCGUCUUCAACAAAAGCUGUCUGAACUUUGCUAUCUAUUGUCGGUUUUUCAAAGGGCCGUUGAACUAACCCUUCCCUUUCAUUCUCAGGUGGCUCAGCAACUCCUUGAAGAUGCUGUAAUGGUCUCUGAUAAUCACAUGGAGGCAACUCCCCAUUAUCCAUAAUAACCUUACUGCCUACACCUUCUACACCAGUGGAUUGAUGCGAGAUACAUUCAACUUUCCCAGUUGGCCCAAGUAGACUAGGUCUAUCUCUGGGCUUACGAUCACGCAUCACUGACCUAAUCUUCCGUGGGGACACUGGCAAAACCCCAUUCGACCAAAUGGACACAUUUUGAUUCUGAACUGUAAGAAUUUGUUCAUGCCCAUCUUCUCUAUCAGGAGAACCUUUUGCUAUUUGUAUCGAAGAUUUUGUGGGUCCUGCCUCAUAAAUUGCUGGUGGGGUCUUGGCCUGACACGCAUUCCUCAAGAUGGAACGGAUAAGCUGAUUGUGCAGGGGAAGAUUCUCCCUUCCAAGCAGGCGAAAACAUGACUUAUCAAAGUCACUCUUGCUCAGCUUCUGACUUAAAAACCUAUUCAAGUAGUGAAAAUACUUCUUGAACCUCUCAACCCCAACCUUCUUCACUAUCUGACUUUUCAAUUCAACCAAAUCAAUUCUGGAGCUCUGCUGAGGUUGCAUCUCUCAAUAAACAGAUUUAUACACCAUUCAAAAGAAUCGCAAGACCCCUUGCCCCUCAAUACAACCACAAAAUACUGUUAUACUGGCUUCCAAACAACCAAAAAUUCACCCACCCGCAUAUCAAUUCAAUGCAUAUAAACUCUCAAGCUCUGUAUAUCUCAAAAUAAACAGACCAUCCACAGAAUGGUUAAAACCUUCACAGCCAACCAGAAAAUGGUUAUUUCUGUUUCCAAACGACCCAAAAUUCACCCGCCCAGAAAAUAUACAAUGCAAACCCAAAUCUCAUCUUUGCACAAAAGCCAAAACCCUAGAGAUCAAACUCAGUAGUUAAGCUUAUCAAAAACCCCGAAAUCACACCAAAUUGAUUCAAAAUCAAAAUAAAUCAAAACCCUAAGUUCGAAUCAUCAAAGUUGAUUGCUUGUAACUGCAUGAACCGUAAAAGUAUAGCACUAGAGCGAUUGAACACACCCCCUUCCCCCAACCCGGCUUGAAAAAUUUUGAGAGAAUUUAAAAGCUGGAAAAUUCAAAUUUAGAUAACAGAAGUUGAGAAGGAAAGAUUAGUUGAGCUGGGAGAUUGAGUUAAGAACAGAGCACCAAUUACAGAUGAAAUUGGAAUUACAACGAAAGAGCGAUAAACUAAACUGGAGAGUGUGAGAUUAAGGUUCAGAGAUUUGUGAAGUUCUGACCUUCUCCAACUUCACCAAUUGCAGAUAAAUCAACAGCCUUCAAACUCACUUGGGCUUUUCGAUUCUUCGCGCUUUCUCUCUGUUUCCGCUCUUCUUCUUUUUCUUCUAAUCUGUCUUCGACUGCAUUUUUCUCUUCUUUUGGGUUUAGUUGAUUUGCAUACAGAGAGAGAGCUUUGCUUUGUGUAGCUCGAUCCCCCGCUAUUACUUUUCCCUCUCUUUUUUUAACUUUUUUUUUUUCCCUUCG
rnacentral:misc_RNA from 1 species